rnacentral:rRNA from 1 species
CUUUGACGUUAGCGGCGGACGGGUGAGUAACACGUGGGUAACCUACCUAUAAGACUGGAAUAACUCCGGGAAACCGGGGCUAAUGCCGGAUAACAUUUAGAACCGCAUGGUUCUAAAGUGAAAGAUGGUUUUGCUAUCACUUAUAGAUGGACCCGCGCCGUAUUAGCUAGUUGGUAAGGUAACGGCUUACCAAGGCAACGAUACGUAGCCGACCUGAGAGGGUGAUCGGCCACACUGGAACUGAGACACGGUCCAGACUCCUACGGGAGGCAGCAGUAGGGAAUCUUCCGCAAUGGGCGAAAGCCUGACGGAGCAACGCCGCGUGAGUGAUGAAGGUCUUCGGAUCGUAAAACUCUGUUAUUAGGGAAGAACAAAUGUGUAAGUAACUAUGCACGUCUUGACGGUACCUAAUCAGAAAGCCACGGCUAACUACGUGCCAGCAGCCGCGGUAAUACGUAGGUGGCAAGCGUUAUCCGGAAUUAUUGGGCGUAAAGCGCGCGUAGGCGGUUUCUUAAGUCUGAUGUGAAAGCCCACGGCUCAACCGUGGAGGGUC